rnacentral:rRNA from 1 species
CACCGCGGUUAUACGAGAGACCCAAGUUGACAAAUUCCGGCGUAAAGCGUGGUUAAGAAGUACUUAAACUAAAGUCGAACACCUUCAAAGCUGUUAUACGCAUCCGAAGACCUGAAGAACAUAUACGAAAGUAACUUUACAAACUCUGAAGCCACGAAAGCUAAGAUA